AAUGAACGCUGGCGGCAGGCCUAACACAUGCAAGUCGAACGGGUCCUUCGGGACUAGUGGCGGACGGGUGAGUAACGCGUGGGAACGUACCUUUUGCUUCGGAAUAGCCUCGGGAAACUGGGAGUAAUACCGAAUGUGCCCUACGGGGGAAAGAUUUAUCGGCAAAAGAUCGGCCCGCGUUGGAUUAGGUAGUUGGUGGGGUAAUGGCCUACCAAGCCGACGAUCCAUAGCUGGUUUGAGAGGAUGAUCAGCCACACUGGGACUGAGACACGGCCCAGACUCCUACGGGAGGCAGCAGUGGGGAAUCUUAGACAAUGGGCGCAAGCCUGAUCUAGCCAUGCCGCGUGAUCGAUGAAGGCCUUAGGGUUGUAAAGAUCUUUCGUGGGGGAAGGAUAAAUGACGGUACCCCCAAGAAGAAGCCCCGGCUAACUCCGUGCCAGCAGCCGCGGUAAU
rnacentral:rRNA from 1 species